rnacentral:lncRNA from 1 species
AAAUGUGAAAGCUUUAGAAUUAGAGAAUUUGAAUGUUUAGCAAUUUAGACAUCGGCAAAUUUUGUUUAAUUCCAUUUAUGAAAACCAUAAAUUGCUCGUUCAGUUUAACCUCACCUUCGACACCUCUAAAGUGUAGACCUAGUUAUAAUAGAAUCUCCGUAUCUUCGAGUGAUAGAUUUCAAACGCUAAUUUAACAUUUUGGAAUAUUUACAACAUUAUUUUAAAACUGUAUAUUAUUUGUCCCUUAUUCAUUCCACUUUUCUCAUAAUUUUAUCAGGUAAUGUGACUGUGUUGAUCUAUAACAGAGCUAUAUGUAUACUAUAUAAUAUUUAUUCUACCAAUCUGUUUUUUAUUUAUGCACAGUUCAAUAUGUUUCUUUUAACAAUAGCUAACUUUCAUAUAAAAUAUUCUAUUAUAUAAUGGAUGAUUUAAGAGUUACCUAAAAUAGUUAAGUGAUUAAUUCAAAUCAAUUGAUUUUUAUGAAAAUUCAUAUCAUAAGUCGACAAAUAAUUCAAAAUUGCGAAUUUGUACUGUUUCUUUUAUUCUUCUGUAUUUAUUCGAAUUAAUUCAAAUUUAGCUUUGCGGUUUUGUCAAAUUUUCUCAUCAUCUUCGUAGAGUUACAUCGAACCGAGCAUUACAAAAGUAUAUUUAAGUUUAAUGAAUUAAUGAAGUAUCAAUAACAAACUGUAAAUGAGUUCAAAUGUGCAUCUAAAAGCUUCGUUAUUUUUACUUAUCAAGAUUUUUUAAUUGUCGAUACAGUACUCCAAAAUACUCGACGAGCAAAUGUCUCAAAUAUUUAUAAUACUGGAAAUUUAACACUAAACCUACCAACGUAUGCACACUUAUUUUGAAAUUAAAUACAAAAUCAAAAAAUAAAUAAAUGAUUGUACUCAUUUAUUCUCUGUCCUCAUAAAAAUUAACAUGGAUUUGAAGAAAACUACCUUAACAAAUUUCGUACCUCAAAAUAAGAAACUUAUAAUAAAUAAUUUGGUAGGCUCAGUGUUAAUUAAGCUUAAUUAACAUUAAUGUUAACUUAAUUACCAAAUUAUUUAUUAUAAGUUUCUUACUUUAAGGUACGAAAUUUGCUAAGGUAGUUUUUUUCUUAAUGUUAAUCAAGCUUAAUGUUAAUCUUAAUCAAGCUUAAUGUUAAUUAACAUUAAGCUUGUGCAUGAGGGAGUAAAAUUAUUACCGCUCUUUUCUUUUAAAAGAAAGUGUUUCUACGUUCGUGGAAAGGAAAAUUAUAACUCGAGGAUUUAGAAUCAGACAACAUAAACUCCAAAAACAUAAUAUUACAGGGGAGAGAACUAUGUCCAGUUAGUUUUUUGACUCUCCACAAAUGUUGCAAAAUCAAAACGUUAUCUUCAAAAAUAUUUAAAUUAUUUAUUUUUGCAUAACAUUUUUGUAGUUGAUACUUACGACUUCUAUGAUCGUAAAUCUUUACAUCGUAAGUCUUUAACAUAAAAUAGUGAGUUAAAGUUAUCUGACUCUAAAUCCUCAUAAAACAGCAUAGUUUUAUAUGUCAUUUACACGUAAGCAUACGUUGCACCUCUAGUCCAUAGAGCCGUGAGCUUUCGUCCAAUUACCGAGCCUUUUGCAGUUUUUAAAUAAAAAAUUUCAUGAACAAAGUGAAAUCGAUGUUAUUGAAGUGUUAAAAAGCGCGAAAGACUGCAAGUUUGUGUAUAUGCGUGCGUGUGGGUAUGUGUACGUUUGGAAAAGAAAAAUUGAGAGAGAACGAAUGAAAGGGCGUUGAAAUAUCGAUAAAUCUCUUCGCCCAAUUUGUAACAGUUAUUUUUAUUUUAUAAUCUUUGUUCCUUUCCUUUUCUGUCGGGAGAGAAGGAACGCAUUCGCUUGUUUUUCUUUUUUUUUGUUUUCGUUUAAUUUCGGCUGUGAAACGAAUUAAUAACAAUUAGCAAUGAACAGCCUUCGAAUUAGAAAUUAUCUCUGCAAAUUAAUAUCGUUGUUUGCUGUUGUCUGUUUAUUUCUUUGAUGCUCUUGACGCUGGAACAACCAGUGACGAAUGACUUUUCUUUUUACUUUCAUUUGUCAUUGCCUUUCUUUUCGGUAUAUCUUUAGAUUUAUUAACUGAAGUUUUCGUUGAACUGUUUAAAACGUUGAAAUGUAAUAAGACAAAAAAUACUUUUGUGUAAAAUAAAGGAUUUUAAUAAUAUUGAAUAGACAUAUAGGGUAAACUACCAUGAUUGACAACAUAACCUAAAAUUCAGUGUCAAAGAAUCGAUUUAAUAAAUAGGGACUUUGUGUUUUUUAUUGAGAAAUUGAUUUAUGAAAUAUAUGAUUUGUAAAAAUUGAUUUAUAGAUAUAACAAGAUAGAAUAAAAUGGUUACUUUGUUUAAAGAUCUUACAACAAUAAAAUCUUAUAAAAUUUAUAACAAGGAUUUUAUCAAAUUUACAGUUUAAAGAUUUCAUAAAAUAAUUUGAAGAUUUUAUAAAACUUAUAAAAUACAGUAAAAUAGUUAAUCGUUAAUAGACUUCAUACGUUGUACCAUUACUUAGCUUAUAAUUUUGUAUUAAUUUGACAAAGUAUGUAAUUUUUCACAAACAACAGAAUGCAAUCCAGUUUCUUUUUAUUUAACAUUAAAUAAAUGCAUAUGUAUUUAGCAAGAAAAUAUUCAACGUACAAUUCUUAUCAAUUACUUCUAAAAUUAGGUAUGCCAAAAUUCAUACAGUGUCAUAAUUAACAUUGUUUACCCUGUUUGAAAUAAAUUGAGACCAGAUAAAAAGUAACAAGAUUUAUCAAUUUGCAAAAGUAUAAACAUAUUUUAUACAGAACAUUAAAAUUAGUCUCAAAAAUGAAUUGUCAUAUAUCAUUACUUCUUAAUUUUUUUUAAUUGUCAACGUUUAGAAAAAAAUCACAUGAAUAAUUUUCAUUAUAAUCAUACGUAAAGAAAGGAAUGGUUGUUCCAGUGUAAAUCCUACUCGUAGAAAUCUUAAGAGUCAAUUCUGAUGACUGAAUACACAUAGUACUAUUUUUGAAGACUUUUAGGGCCUCUAACAGAAAAUUAAUAAGCUUCAACGAUCUUUAUUUAUCUUAUGGUCAGGAGAAACAAGAACAGUAGAUAUUUGGUUUCCAAAAAUGUAUAAAAAGUGCGACUUCGUUUUGAAACCAAGAAGCAGUAUUUUGUCAUAAUUUCUUUUUCAAAAUAUUCUUUGUAUAAUCCUCAAUGCGGCGAAGAAUGCAUCUUUAAAAAAAUGGGAAAUGGAAAAAUUUUUUCUAUAAAAACUUGCAUGUUUCUUUCUAGUGUUUUAAGGAUAACAUUGCAAAAUUCGACUCUGUACCUUUUUUUUGUAUUACUAUCGCUUUAAUUUAAAUUAAUAUUGCUCCAAAUUACUUGAAUUACAAAGUCGUACAUAUACAUUUUUGGAAACUAAAUCUCUAUUAUCCUUGUCUCUCCUAACCUAACCUAACCUAACCAAAACAACAUAAGAUGAACAAAGAACGCCGCAGUUUCUUAAUUUCCCGCCAGAGAUCUCACCUUAAAAAAUGAUACUGUUGUGAGUAUUCAACCAUCACAGUUAACUCUUGAGCUCGUCCACUCCUUUUACUAGAUUUCACAUAAUCUUUUAAAUCACUAUUCCUUUAUCCUACUUCUUUUCUCACAUUUCCGUCAAAAAGUAAAAAGUUCACAACUGUGAACCAGCUGCAAAGGUUGUUCUACUUGAUAACAAUAUUUCUGCUACGUUUUACAACAUUUUAAAUUGAUUUUAUUCAUUACUGAUCUGCCGUUGUUAAGGGAGCUCGAAAGCGCGGAUCUAUGGUUUCAUAAUCAAUGAUCGAAUUUGAGGCAAGACUGAGCGAAAAGUCUCAACAGAAAGUGCUUAGUUUUUUUAUGCACAGAAUGAAUAAUUCAAUCUUACGAGUCAUUUAAAUCGGUGGUCUACAGAAGCUUAAAAUAAAUGAUAUGAAAUAUUGCUAAAAUCAAGCGGAAAGUGUCACUGAUAGAUACGGUACUCGGCUUUUGCGAAUGUUGUGCAAUAAUUACGUUUCUGAAAGCACGUAUUUUAUUUGCACAGAACUGUCGAACAAGUGUAAAAAUAACUUCUGGUUGUCCUUCGAUAUGAUCGAACAUCUGCCACGUUUUUUUUCAUUUCGAAUAUUUGCGACAGGUCAGUGAUAUUGCUUAUCAAACAUAUCGUUUAAUCGAGAACUCUUAUGUAUAUAUUUGUAUACAUUUCUUAUGUAACCAUUCACAGUAGAUUUGAAUAUUUUAACGCAGCAAUUACUUUUAAUACCGUUUGACGUUUUACAUUAUUCAAAGACAUAAUUGUUAUACAACUAUGGUUUUAUGCAGUGAUACUACUCGGUUCAGUAAUAAUUGAGCAGAAUAAUUUGUCAACACAAUUUUCCAUAAAUUUCCACGAUUAACUUUAUUCACUCAAUGUUUCAAUCAAUAUAGAAACCGAUGUUUAAUUUAAUUUCAAUGCUCCUCUAAUUUUAAUUAAUCAGGUAGAGUGCUAAAAACCAUUUUGUUUGUAUCAUCAUUCUUCCCAUUUCUUCUUUUCUUUCCCUUUUAAUAAUGUGUUCAACACGAAGUUAAAUUGCGUUCUGAAAUAUCUUCACAAAAUUAAGCACCAAUGCUUGAGACUGAUAAAAUCGGAUUACCAUGUACAUAUUUUAUUAGCGAAAAGAAUGAGAACAUGUUAUUAAGAUCCAUGUAAUCCUGUAGCGUAGAGCUCGAUUACUUCCCUUUUCUCUUCCUUUAUCUCCGUUAAGCAUCGAUCGUUGAUGAGAAUUUAUUUUUAAUCGAAUUUUGUUUGUUUAGAUGUUUCUUUAUAGUUAGGUAUAAUUUCGUGUUUAUUGUUACACGAAAGGCGUGGGUGACAGCGUUUGAAGAUUCUGCUAGAAAUAUAUUGCAACUAAGGAGCGAAGGAUGAUGAAGGAAUGAAGUAUCUAUACGUAUGAGUAAACGUAUAUAAUAUAUAUGUAACACAUGUUCUAUAUGUUAUUAAGACAAUAAAUGGAAGACCGAUUGAUAGUUA